AGUGAACGCUGGCGGUAGGCCUAACACAUGCAAGUCGAACGGCAGCACAGUAAGAGCUUGCUCUUACGGGUGGCGAGUGGCGGACGGGUGAGGAAUACAUCGGAAUCUACUUUUUCGUGGGGGAUAACGUAGGGAAACUUACGCUAAUACCGCAUACGACCUACGGGUGGAAGCAGGGGAUCUUCGGACCUUGCGCGAUUGAAUGAGCCGAUGUCGGAUUAGCUAGUUGGCGGGGUAAAGGCCCACCAAGGCGACGAUCCGUAGCUGGUCUGAGAGGAUGAUCAGCCACACUGGAACUGAGACACGGUCCAGACUCCUACGGGAGGCAGCAGUGGGGAAUAUUGGACAAUGGGCGCAAGCCUGAUCCAGCCAUACCGCGUGGGUGAAGAAGGCCUUCGGGUUGUAAAGCCCUUUUGUUGGGAAAGAAAAUCAGCAGGUUAAUACCCCGCUGUUCUGACGGUACCCAAAGAAUAAGCACCGGCUAACUUCGUG
rnacentral:rRNA from 1 species